GGGAUCCCCAGCGCCAAGGGAGACCGGCGCUGGAGAAAGGUAAGUGCUGAAGACACACACACACACACACACUUACAGACGCAUACACACUAGCUAACAGACACACACAUUUACUGACAGAGACACAGUCAGCGACAGACAUACAUACACACUCACUGACAAAACAUACACUCUCAUUGACAAACACACACUCACUAACAGACAUCAAACAGACUCACUAACACACACACUCAGUAAGACACACACAGUAACACACACACUAACACUCACUCUAACACUCACACACACUAACACUCACUCUAACACUCACACACACACACACUAACAGACACACACACUAACACUCACACUAACACUCACACACACUAACACUCACUCUAACACUCACACACACUAACACUCACUCUAACACUCACACACACUAACACUCACUCUAACACUCACACACACUAACACUCACUCUAACACUCACACACACUAACACUCACUCUAACAC